AAAAAAUUUGAUUCUGGUUUUUAAGUUUAGUUUAUAUUUUUAUUAUAUGUAAAUUUUUGUGUUUAAAAUUAUUUAAAUAGUAAUUUAAGAAAAUAAUUAAGUUUAUUUAAAGCAAUAAUUAAAUUUGUACAAUAAAAGAAAUUUUGAUACAGAAAUAUAUAAUAGCAUUGGUAAAAUUUGUGCCAGCAAUCGCGGUUAAACAGAUGAUGCAAUUAAAUUUUUUCUAGUAAUAAUAAAUAAGAUUAAAAAAUAAUUUAGAAUUAAAUUUAUUAGGUGAAAUUAGAAAUUUGAAUAAAAUUAUAUUUAAUGAUUAUGAGGUUAUGAAAUUCUUGCAUUAAACUAGGAUUAGAUACCCUAUUAUAAGGAAUAUAAAUUAAUAAUACUAGGGGAGUAGUAGUUAUGUUCUUGAAAUUUAAAGAAUUUGGCGGUACUUUAGUCUAUUCAGAGGAACCUGUCCUAUAAUUGAUGAUCCACGAUUAAUUGUACUUAAUUUAAUAGUUUAUAUAUCGUCGUAGGUUGAAUAUCUUAGAAGAGAUGAAAAUAUUCAUGAUUUAAAAUAAAAUAAUAAAGGAAAUCAGAUCAAGGUGUAGCAUAUAAUUGAGAAGAGAUGGGUUACAAUAAAAUUAUUUAUAAUGAAUAUAAUAUUUAAAAUUAUUAUUGAAGGUGGAUUUGAAAGUAAUAUAUUUUAUUUAAAAUGUAUGAUUUUAGCUCUAGAGUAUGUACAUAUCGCCCGUCGCUUUCAUUGAACAUUAAAAUGAAAUAAGUCGUAACAUAGUGGGUGUACCGGAAGGUGUACCUAGAUUGCA
rnacentral:ncRNA from 1 species